UUGUUUAUAUUUUCUUCGACUUCCUUUUAGAACUUCAAUGUAAUAUAAAACAUGUGUAUUUAGGUAAAUUAUUGUCAUAAAGAGCUGGAAGGGUGCUGCUUUCCUUUCAGGAUCGGCUGGAUCCUUGUUAUGUUUAAUUUCAUUAUCAGCCCUAUGAGGCUUGUUAAGACUCUCUUUACCUUACUUCUAAGGAUAGAUGGUUUAAAGUUGGUUUCUUUUUGGUUACCUGUUGUUUAAGUUGCUAUAUGGACGAGAUUGUUAUCAAUCUUGGGUUGACUAUCAUUUGGCAGCUUGUGUGUGUUGGUUAUGCUCUCUCUGAGGCUUGUUGUGUAUUCGGGGUCAGCCCCCUUGUUUUGGCUGCUUUAUUAUCAAAAACAAGUUUACAAACAUCUUAAGUAGAAUGCAAAUUCUUUUCUUUAUGUAA